AUUUAUAAAUAAAUAUCAGUCACCAACACGAAUUUUCAAGUUGUUAAUUCUUAAAAAUCAACAUUAAGAUGAUGCUUUCAAAAUCUUUUUUUUUUAUAAGAUCAGUUCAAAACAUCUCAGUUUUAUAAAUGUCAACGAGUUCAAUGCGUCCUCUCUUUAUAAAGCAAUUUCCUUCUCACUACCUACCGCUCGGUUAUUGGGUUUCACCGCAUUACGUCGGGGCUGCUUCACUUACAAACGUGCUCUAUAACGGGAUUACAUGUAUUAUAAUAUUAUGCUAAUACAAUGGUAAUUUACGGGUUCGCUUUUUACUGACCACAGCCGAUCCGAUAACGAGCAUUGCGUUUGUCUCAUAUUUUCAAACUG